rnacentral:lncRNA from 1 species
GCAUGGAAUAUCUCUGCUACUUUGGCUUGGCACGCAGCUGAGCCAGCUCGAAAUGGAUCCGAGCCACCUCUCUUAGGAUGGCAGAGAAGUGAUUUUUUGGAUUCUGUAGUUCGAGCCAACUUGAAAUAAGAUCCGAGCCAACUUGAAAUAAGAUCUAAGCUAGCUCUCUUAGAUCGAUAAAAAAAGUAUUUUUAAGCCUACAGUUCGAGCCA